rnacentral:lncRNA from 1 species
UGGUAAGAAAGAGUGAUUCCAAAACCGGUCACAACGGCCAGCCAAAAGGCCACCAAAAACGCAGUCCAAGUGAAGUAAAACGGUGCAAACAAAGCCAGGCAAUGCACACUCAAGAACAUACCAGCUGUCACAAGGUCUAGAAGAUUCCAUUUCCUCCCCAAGAAAUUUGCACAAGGGGUCAUGAGAAUGGUGACCCAAACUUUCAAAAGCCCCAUAAUGAGAGAGAGAGAGAGAGAGAGAGAGAGAGAGAGAAUGGGACUCUUUUUUGAGCCAAUGGUUUUGAGGAUUGUAUGAGAGACAAAGGAUUGCUGCUUGGGAAAGUUGGCCAUGACUUUGGCCAUUACUUAUAGUGAAGCAAUUUAAUUCAGAGCUGCCCCGUCAGGUUAUGGUAGGUGAUGGCAUUAGACUUACUUAUUGUAAUUUCCCCAAACCCCAAACAAAUUCAAUUAGCGUGUUCUUUGUGUUUCUAUUUUUAAAUGAAAAUUCAGAGUUAGAAAGUAACCUACUACUAUAAUUUAAUUGUCACGUCUCAACCCAAACCAUAUGCAUCAUGCUUGCUUCACAGAGAGAGUAUCAUCAAGGGCUAGAGGCCAAACGUACUAUGCAAACCCAGCUGAAGCUCUUAUGACCCAUCAAACCGCUUGAGCCAGUUUCAUUAGAAUGUCAGACAGAGUAAGAGCUAGUAGUUAUAAAGCCUGCUUUUGACAACCACCUAAACAGUAACUUCAAUACUUGUCCUUCUCAAAUUAAUUAAUACUUAACUUCCAUGUCGAUUCAAAAGACACAAACUUCAAAUAAUAUGAAACUAAUCUGUCUCUGAAUCCAAGGAAUACUUCUUGGUUUUCAUAUUGGCCGUUAGAUUUUAUAGUGGAGAAAUCACCACCAUGUAUUUGUUGAAAAUGUGUACCUGGCUAUUAUUUCUUCUAUGCUAAUCUAAAAAUAUUUUAGAAUAUGCUAUUGAACCUAAUCUUCUUACAACUCCAAGUUUAAAUUAGAGAGUAUUAGAAUAAAUAUUAAAAAUAGACAAUAGCUAAUUGGUUGAAUGAUUUGUUGUGAUUACAAACGUCAACAGUACAAAGUAUACAUAUGUCCUACAAUCAACCAGGCUUUAUAUCUAAGGCUUAGAAGCCGUGAUCCACCUUCGGUGGGAUUUGAUCUACACAAACUUAAUUAGGAAAGUAAAUAUAUUACAAUAAAUAAAUUGGGUAAAUUUUACUUUACUACCUGGAAGUUUACCGAAAUUAAGAGUUUACCACCUAAAGUUUUUUUCGUGUCAACUUCGUACCUAAAAUUUGAUAUUCAUGUAACUUUCAUACCUCCAUUAUAAUGUCCGUCAAGUCAUCUGUUAAACGACGACGUGGCAAUUAGUGGGCCUAUAAAGAUCCACUCAUAUUGCGGAUGUGGAUGGACAAAUAUAAAAUAUAAGAAAAAUAUUUUUCCUGUUUUGAUAAGAAGAGAUAAAAAUUAUUAAAUAAAUUUAUAAAAUAAAAAAGCUAAAAUAAAAUUAUUCAAUUUAUAUUUUAAAUGAUUUUAAAAGAGUUAUAAAGUUGAUGGAGUUUAAUUGAAUUUAAUUGAGUUUGACUGAAUUCUACAAACUCCACAUAGAUUUUGACUGAAUUCGUGUAUAGAUUUUAAUUGAGUUUGUUAGAAUUUAAUUAUUGAUUUUAAUGGAGUUUAUAGCGAUGGAGGUGGUGGUGAUGGCGAGGGCGAUCACGGUGGCGAUGGUGGUUUGUAGGGGAGGUGGGGGNNNNNNNNNNNNNNNNNNNNNNNNNNNNNNNNNNNNNNNNNNNNNNNNNNNNNNNNNNNNNNNNNNNNNNNNNNNNNNNNNNNNNNNNNNNNNNNNNNNNGUAUCGAUCAGCUUUCAAAUAAGUUCGAAUGUAAUCAUAGUAUCAGAAAAAACAAGAUGAACAUACUAUGUUUUUUUUUCUCUCAUCAACAGGUGCGUCAGUUUCGUUUUUGACAUAUGAAUGACAUUUGGUUGUCAAAUUUUGUUUAAAACUUUUAGCCUUUCAAAAUUGCACCUCCGCCAAAAAAUUCCUGAGUCCGCCCAACCCAAAGUCAUGAAACAAAACCCCUCAAGUUUGUUAUAAAUGCCGGGUUAAAAGUAAAGCAUUAAUUGCUAAUACAAGCAUAGAAUCAAUUCAUUCUCAACAAUAAUAAGGUCCACAACAUGCAUGAACAAUAUCAUUAUCACCCUUUUCGUCCAAAAAAAAAUAUCAUUAUCACCAUAAAACAGCAAAUAGAGUUUGAAGCUAGACAUCCCAGGCCUAGCCAAAUGUCGAAACCCUAAUCUUGAGCAGCCAUGGAUUUACUCUGUCUUUAAAGCCAUCCGUUUCCUGUGAGCCUCGGAUGGUACUUUCACAUCUGUUGCCAGUCCUAGAGCUUCAAGAAAUUUUAUGAUGUACCAAGUCAAGUCAAUUUGCCACCAUUCCAGGCCUUGUCGAGCUGAGUAUUCGAAGGCAUGGUGAUUAUUGUGCCAGCCUUCUCCAAGUGCAACCAAUCCCAACCACCUUGAAAUAUGAAUAUGAAUAUAUAAAAAUCAAUUUUAAAAUUGCAACUUUCAUUUCUCAAUUAUAUAUGAAAUAUAUAGUAGAAGGGAGAGUACUAAUUAAUAUAAGUACCAAAGGUUCUUAGACAGAUCCCCGGUGUUCCAUGCCUGAUAUCCCCAGGUGUGGCCAGCAGAAUUUACAAGCAAAGUACUGUGGAAAACAACUACCAUUCUCACGCCCUGCAAAUGAUAAUGAGUUUAAACUCAAGGAUAUGUGCUAGAAGUAAUUAGAAAAAAAAUUAAAAAAAUUAAAAGAAACAAUAAAAAAGCAUAUGUACAUUUAUAUUUGUGCUUAUAAUUCUAGUAAUAAGAAUGGGAGAGUUUCAGACACAACUUCUCUGGUUUGAAAUGUUUAAGAUCUUGUGCGAAUACAUGAUCAAUUUAUUAGAAAUGAAAAAGAGGAAAAUGUAUAAAUCUCACCAUUCCCCAAACCAAGAAGGGAAGUCCACCCACGGCAUACAAUAUGCCUGCAAGAAUAAAUGAGUGUAGCAUGAAAGUAUGAUGAAGAAACACAUAAAAUGGCUGCUUUUUCAUGUCUUCAACAUUCUUUAGUCCUCCAUACUGCAAAUUUCUCAUUAAAAAAAAACAAAAUUAAGUGUAAGCAUUUGUACCAAAAGAAAAAAGUGUAACUAUUACUGGAGAGAGAGAGAGAGAGAGAGAGAGAGAGAGAGAGAGGUUGUUUUUAAUUACUCUUCCAAACCGAGAACUGCUAUCAAGGAUCCAGCCCAUAUGACUAUACCAGAAACCCUUAAGUGGGCUGUGAGCAUCUUUUUCUGUAUCAGUAAACUGGUGGUGGUAUCGGUGUGUGCUCACCCAUUCAAUUGGACUUCCCUGCAAACCCAAAACAACAAACAGAAAAUCGUAAAAGUAGACCAAAAAAAGAAAGAACAUAAACAACAAAACUUGCAAAAUGUUUCUCAAAAAUGAGAUUUGACAUACCUCAAGUGCGAGAACCCCACAGUAGGCAAACAAGUACUCAAGCAAUUUUGGAACCCUAAAACUUCUAUGAGCAAGAUUUCUAUGGUAAGAAAGAGUGAUUCCAAAACCGGUCACAACGGCCAGCCAAAAGAGCACCCAAAAGGCAGUUCAAAUGCAGGAAAACGGUGCAAAGUGAGGCAGGCAAUGCACACUCAAAACAUACCAGCUGUCACAAUUUCCAGUAGAUUACAUUUCCUCCCCAAGAAAUUUGCACAAGGGGUCAUGAGAAUGGUGACCCAAACUUUCAAAAGCCCCAUAAUGAGAGAGAGAGAGAGAGAGAGAGAGAGAGAGAGAGAGAGAGAGAGAGAGAGAGUGUGUGUGACUCUUU